UACGAAGGGUGCAAGCGUUACUCGGAAUUACUGGGCGUAAAGCGUGUGCAGGUGGUUUGUUAAGUCUGCUGUGAAAGCCCCGGGCUCAACCUGGGAAUUGCAUUUGAGACUGCGUAGCUAGGGUGCGGAAGAGGGAAGCGGAAUUUCCGGUGUAGCGGUGAAAUGCGUAGAUAUCGGAAGGAACACCAGUGGCGAAAGCGGCUUCCUGGUCCAGCACCGACGUUCAGGCACGAAAGCGUGGGGAGCAAACAGG
rnacentral:rRNA from 1 species